AUUGAACGCUGGCGGCAGGCCUAACACAUGCAAGUCGAGCGGAUGAAGGGAGCUUGCUCCUGGAUUCAGCGGCGGACGGGUGAGUAAUGCCUAGGAAUCUGCCUGGUAGUGGGGGAUAACGUCCGGAAACGGGCGCUAAUACCGCAUACGUCCUGAGGGAGAAAGUGGGGGAUCUUCGGACCUCACGCUAUCAGAUGAGCCUAGGUCGGAUUAGCUAGUUGGUGGGGUGAAGGCCUACCAAGGCGACGAUCCGUAACUGGUCUGAGAGGAUGAUCAGUCACACUGGAACUGAGACACGGUCCAGACUCCUACGGGAGGCAGCAGUGGGGAAUAUUGGACAAUGGGCGAAAGCCUGAUCCAGCCAUGCCGCGUGUGUGAAGAAGGUCUUCGGAUUGUAAAGCACUUUAAGUUGGGAGGAAGGGCAGUAAGUUAAUACCUUGCUGUUUUGACGUUACCAACAGAAUAAGCAUCGGCUAACUUCGUG
rnacentral:rRNA from 1 species